rnacentral:rRNA from 1 species
UGAGGAAUAUUGGUCAAUGGGCGGGAGCCUGAACCAGCCAAGUCGCGUGAAGGAAGAAAGAUCUAUGGUUCGUAAACUUCUUUUGCAGGGGAAUAAAGUGCAGGACGUGUCCUGUUUUGUAUGUACCCUGAGAAUAAGCACCGGCUAACUCCGUGCCAGCAGCCGCGGUAAUACGGAGGGUGCGAGCGUUAUCCGGAUUUACUGGGUUUAAAGGGUGCGUAGGUGGGCUUAUAAGUCAGUGGUGAAAUCUCCGAGCUUAACUUGGAAACUGCCGUUGAUACUAUAGGUCUUGAAUUAUCUGGAGGUAAGCGGAAUAUGUCAUGUAGCGGUGAAAUGCUUAGAUAUGACAUAGAACACCAAUUGCGAAGGCAGCUUACUACAUAUAAAUUGACGCUGAGGCACGAAAGCGUGGGGAUCAAACA